AUUGGUUUGAGGAUGGAACUGUGAUCCAGUGAGGCUCACGUUUGGUUCAGUGAGAUUCAAACCCAGGAGUUGUGUUGAGAAGUGAAAGUCACUCAGUUGUGUCUGACUCUUUGCAACCCCAUGGACUAUAUAGUCCAUGGAAUUCUCCAGGCCAGAAUACUGGAGCUGGUAGCCUUUCCCUUCUCGAGGAAAGAGAGAGAAAGAGACAGACUAUUUGUGUUGAGCAAGAGACAGAUUAUUUGCUACUGAAUUUGAACCUGACGAGACGCAGGCCUGGAGCUCCUGCUUGCUUUCUUGCCGGUGCAUUGAAUGCAAGGAUAAAGACAACGUGAAGGGGAGCAGAAUGUUAAACUGGGUUUGAAUUGGACUUUCUGUCACGACAUCAAAAAAGAAUUUUGACUGGAUAUGCCAGAACUUUAGCUCACCUUAUUUCUCAUCUCCUCCCCAUUAUGGACCCUACUUGUAUCCUUGAUUUCUAACUCAGGAAGUCAGUGAUGGAGUGAGGUGAAGAAUAGAGCAAGACUCGACAAUGGGGGUCAAAUUGGAGUCAUUCUGGGUUUAUUCCAUGGUCACUGUAGAAUCCCACAGUCUUGGUUAUGGCACACAGGAGCUUCGGCCUUCGUCGCCUCUUGCAGAAUCUUUCAGUCACAGCAUGUGAACUUUUCGUUGCAGCCUGUGGGAUCUAGUUCCCUGACCAUGGAUCAAACUCAGGUCCCCUUCAUUGGGAGUGAGGAAUCUUAGCCACUGGACCACCAGGGAACUCA